CGCGGGAUAGAGCAAUCCGGUAGCUCGUCGGGCUCAUAACCCGAAGGUUGUUGGUUCAAAUCCGGCUCCCGCAACCA
rnacentral:tRNA from 1 species